UUUUUGGUGGUCCAGUGGUUAGGACACUGCUUCUACCUCAGAGGGCCCAGGUUUGAUUCCUGGUCUGGGAA
rnacentral:tRNA from 1 species